GACGAACGCUGGCGGCGUGCUUAACACAUGCAAGUCGAACGGAAAGGCCUGCUUUCCCUUGUGGAUUGCGGGUACGCGGGUGGCGAACGGGUGAGUAACACGCGAGUGAUCUGCCCCCAACUUGGGUAUAAGCCUGGGAAACUAGGUCGAAUUCCCGAUAGGACUGCAGGGUGGUGCCGGUGGUGGAAAACGAGUUUCCAGUGGUUGGGGCUGAGCUCGCGGCCUAGCAGCUUGUUGGUGUGGUAACGGACUACCAAGGCGGCGACGGGUAGCCGGCCUGGGAGGGUGGACGCUCGCACUGGGACUGGGUCACGACCCCUACUCCUGCGAGCAGCAGCGAUGGUUACUCUUGGACCGUAAGCCGGAGCCUGAUGCGCCGAGUCCGUGUUGAGGAUCUCGGGCUUCGAGUUGUCAACUCCUUUCGACCGAGAGGAAGCUAACUGGUUGUACGGGUGGUGACGGUAGUGGUAGAAGAAGCCCCGGCUAACUACGUG
rnacentral:rRNA from 1 species